UUGCCGCUGGGGGAGUGGCACCACAUCGUCUUUGUCGCGGACAAGCGGAAGGUUCGCCUCUAUCGCAACAAG
rnacentral:tRNA from 1 species